rnacentral:rRNA from 1 species
UAGCGGAGGAAAAGAAACCAACUGGGAUUACCUUAGUAACGGCGAGUGAAGCGGUAAAAGCUCAAAUUUGAAAUCUGGUACUUUCAGUGCCCGAGUUGUAAUUUGUAGAAUUUGUCUUUGAUUAGGUCCUUGUCUAUGUUCCUUGGAACAGGACGUCAUAGAGGGUGAGAAUCCCGUUUGGCGAGGAUACCUUUUCUCUGUAAGACUUUUUCGAAGAGUCGAGUUGUUUGGGAAUGCAGCUCAAAGUGGGUGGUAAAUUCCAUCUAAAGCUAAAUAUUGGCGAGAGACCGAUAGCGAACAAGUACAGUGAUGGAAAGAUGAAAAGAACUUUGAAAAGAGAGUGAAAAAGUACGUGAAAUUGUUGAAAGGGAAGGGCAUUUGAUCAGACAUGGUGUUUUUUGCAUGCACUCGCCUCUCGUGGGCUUGGGCCUCUCAAAAAUUUCACUGGGCCAACAUCAAUUCUGGCAGCAGGAUAAAUCAUUAAGAAUGUAGCUACUUCGGUAGUGUUAUAGCUUUUUGGAAUACUGUUAGCCGGGAUUGAGGACUGCGCUUCGGCAAGGAUGUUGGCAUAAUGGUUAAAUGCCGCCCGUCUUA